CAACUACUCCCUCUGUCCCAAAUUUCUUGUCUUAGAUUUGUCUAGAUACAGAUGUAUCUAAUACUAAAAUGUGACUUGAUACAUCCGUAUCUAGACAAAUCUAAGACAAGAAUUUUGGGACGGAGCGAGUACUUU
rnacentral:pre_miRNA from 1 species